UCAAUCUUUAUUAAGAUCUUCAAUCUUAUGUAACAUGUGCAAAUAUGUUCAUUACCUUUAUUGGAGUACUCAAAUACUUCUAGGUUAAAAAAUUACUCCAUUUACUUCCAAAUUUAACUUAUCAUAUAAUUAGAAUUAAAGUGUAAAAUACUGACGGCACACACACACACAAUGAAGGCAAAUAUUCCCCAUUCGAAUUCAAGAAUUAACAAUGGUGGCAGUAGGUCAUGUAUUCGAUAUCAGACCCAAAUCCAAGUUUGGCAAUAGAGGAUCGACGUUGCUACAUUGACGGUCAUCAUUGUGACUGAUCGUUGCCACUACCAUACCUGCCACCACAUGAACAUGUAAUCUAAUUGCUUGAUUUGAUUUUCUCAUAUGAAUUCUGUGUUUUGCGUUUGGAUAUGGUGGUGAUCAUGGCACAAUAAUAGUGCCGAUGAUAAUGAUUGUGACGAAUGUUACAAGUCUACAAGUGGAGGUGGUGAUUUAACACUUUAUAGUUGGCGAUUUAUCGUGGAGGCGGAUGAGAUGAAUGAUGGUGUGGAUGCUCAGUUUCGAGUGUGGUGAUGGUCAGUUAGACGUGUUAAGAUUUUAUAAGUGGUGGUUUUUAUUAGCUAAGAAAAGUAGAAUUGGUUGCUUUCCCACUUAGUGACUCUAAUUUGAAAUAGAAAAAAAAACAAAAAAAACAAAAACAAACAAACAAACAAGCAAAAACUAAAACAAAACCAAAACCAAAACCAAAACCCAAAAUUAAAAAGGUACAAACAUCUUAUAAUUUUUGUUUCAAGAGAAGAAAAUAUUAUAACUUCUUGACACAUUAUCCAUAUUUCAUACUGGACUUUGAGAUUUUUAUUUUUAUUUUUAGUUUUUUCCAAUUUCACCCUUUUCUUCAAGUCAUUGAUCUAAUAAAGUUUCGCCGCUCUGAGAGUUAAACAACAUAUUAAAAAUUACUCAGAAUUAAUUCGAAAAAUCCACGAAAAUCAAUUUAAAAAUAUAGCUUUCUAAACCAAAUAAUUAAAUAAUAUUCUCAGCCAUCCAAAGCAACCCCGCAAAAAUAAAUUUGACUGCGGUGAAGCCAAAAAUAGGAUAGUUGAGAUUAUUAGUCUCUUUUGCUUCAUGGUUACGAAUUGUUUGGGCACAUAUAAGUCCCAUCAACAAGACAGUGAAGCUUUAAAUCCUUUGCACAAACAAAAUUAAAAUAAGAAAAGUAACAACCUUAAGAAAUUAGAAGAUUCCAUCACACACACUGUGCACGUAAAUCUACUUCUGAUUUACCAUAGUUCGACGUAUCAGAAGAGUCUCGCAUGUUUCAAAACAUUAAGAUAUGGGAAGAAAUCUGAAUUCAC
rnacentral:lncRNA from 1 species